rnacentral:rRNA from 1 species
AUUGAACGCUGGCGGCAUGCCUUACACAUGCAAGUCGAACGGCAGCACGGGGGCAACCCUGGUGGCGAGUGGCGAACGGGUGAGUAACAUAUCGGAACAUACCCUAGAGUGGGGGAUAACGUAGCGAAAGUUACGCUAAUACCGCAUACGAUCUAAGGAUGAAAGUGGGGGAUCUUCGGACCUCAUGCUCAUGGAGUGGCCGAUAUCUGAUUAGCUAGUUGGUGAGGUAAAGGCUCACCAAGGCGACGAUCAGUAGCUGGUUUGAGAGAACGACCAGCCACACUGGAACUGAGACACGGUCCAGACUCCUACGGAGGCAGCAGUGGGGAAUUUUGGACAAUGGGGGCAACCCUGAUCCAGCAAUGCCGCGUGAGUGAAGAAGGCCUU